UUCCAGACUCCUACGGGAGGCAGCAGUGGGGAAUAUUGCGCAAUGGGCGAAAGCCUGACGCAGCGACGCCGCGUGAGGGAUGAAGGUCUUCGGAUCGUAAACCUCUGUCAGCAGGGAAGAACGGUCACUGUGCUAAUCAGCAGUGAAUUGACGGUACCUGCAAAGGAAGCACCGGCUAACUCCGUGCCAGCAGCCGCGGUAAUACGUAGGGGGCAAGCGUUAUCCGGAUUUACUGGGUGUAAAGGGAGCGUAGACGGUAGAGCAAGUCUGAAGUGAAAGCCCGCGGCUCAACUGCGGGACUGCUUUGGAAACUGUUCAACUGGAGUGCUGGAGAGGUAAGCGGAAUUCCUAGUGUAGCGGUGAAAUGCGUAGAUAUUAGGAGGAACACCAGUGGCGAAGGCGGCUUACUGGACAGUAACUGACGUUGAGGCUCGAAAGCGUGGGGAGCAAACAGGAUUAGAUACCCUAGUAU
rnacentral:rRNA from 1 species